UACGGGGGAGGCAAGCGUUAUCCGGAAUUAUUGGGCGUAAAGCGUCCGUAGGUGGCACUUCAAGUCUGCGGUCAAAGACCGGGGCUUAACCCUGGAAAGGCCGUGGAAACUGAAGUGCUAGAGUGCAGUAGGGGUAGAGGGAAUUCCCGGUGUAGCGGUGAAAUGCGUAGAGCUCGGGAAGAACAUCGGUGGCGAAAGCGCUCUACUGGACCGCAACUGACACUGAGGGACGAAAGCUAGGGGAGCGAACAGG
rnacentral:rRNA from 1 species